UUAAGUUCAGCGGGUAGUCCCACCCGAUUUGAGGUCAAAUUGUCAGAGAUUGUCCUAAAAGGACGGUUUGAAGCAUAGAGCUUACUCUGUAAUGCAGUCUUGCGACUUGACUCUGGUGAAAUGUUUAUUACACCAGAUACAUUGCAAAAGCAAGGUACACUCAGGCAUUUGAGACGAGCCGUAAUAACACGGCAACAUCC
rnacentral:misc_RNA from 1 species